rnacentral:rRNA from 1 species
AUUGAACGCCGGCGGCAUGCUUUACACAUGCAAGUCGAACGGCAGCGCGGGGCAACCCGGGCGGCGAGUGGCGAACGGGUGAGUAAUAUAUCGGAACGUACCCAGAAGUGGGGGAUAACGUAGCGAAAGUUACGCUAAUACCGCAUACGAUCUACGGAUGAAAGUGGGGGACCUUCGGGCCUCAUGCUUGUGGAGCGGCCGAUAUCUGAUUAGCUAGUUGGUGAGGUAAAGGCUCACCAAGGCGACGAUCAGUAGCUGGUCUGAGAGGACGACCAGCCACACUGGGACUGAGACACGGCCCAGACUCCUACGGGAGGCAGCAGUGGGGAAUUUUGGACAAUGGGCGCAAGCCUGAUCCAGCAAUGCCGCGUGAGUGAAGAAGGCCUUCGGGUUGUAAAGCUCUUUUGUCAGGGAAGAAACGGUAGGGGCUAAUAUCCUUUGCUAAUGACGGUACCUGAAGAAUAAGCACCGGCUAACUACGUGCCAGCAGCCGCGGUAAUACGUAGGGUGCAAGCGUUAAUCGGAAUUACUGGGCGUAAAGCGUGCGCAGGCGGUUUUGUAAGUCUGUCGUGAAAGCCCCGGGCUCAACCUGGGAAUUGCGAUGGAGACUGCAAGGCUUGAAUCUGGCAGAGGGGGGUAGAAUUCCACGUGUAGCAGUGAAAUGCGUAGAGAUGUGGAGGAACACCGAUGGCGAAGGCAGCCCCCUGGGUCAAGAUUGACGCUCAUGCACGAAAGCGUGGGGAGCAAACAGG